CGCAUUUCAUACUAAGAAGUCUCUCUCUUUUUCUUGCAUUUUCUUUUAGGCAUAUCCUUUAGGCGUUCCAGAAGGACUUUGAGAACCAUCCUUUCCUAAAUCAAAGGUGGAAUAUUUGGCGAUUUGGAAAAUUGAG
rnacentral:lncRNA from 1 species